AAUUGGAGUGAUGAAAUUUUCACCUUAGGUAGAUGCAACAGACCGUCUUGGUUGCUUACUGCAUCUGCCAAUGCUGGGGCUGUCAUAGUUACACUGACCAUAU